rnacentral:misc_RNA from 1 species
GUUUAAUUUCUACCCGCCUAGUUUCACAUUGUCAGAAAAAUCAUGUCAAAGCCAGUUUUGUAUUCCUACUUUAGAAGCUCUUGCGCAUGGAGAGUGAGAAUUGCUCUCAAUAUCAAAGGUAUUGAAUAUGAGUAUAAGGCAGUUAAUUUGAUAAAAGACGGAGGGAUGCAGAGAAAAGAGGAGUACAUAGCAGUGAACCCAAUGCAAAUGGUACCUGCCUUUGUUGUUGAUGGUGCCACUCUCACUCAGUCUAUACCAAUCAUGGAAUAUCUUGAAGAAAAGUACCCAUCUCCUGCAAUAUUGCCCAAGGAUUCUCUCCAAAGAGCUAAGCAUCUGGAAUCCAGCCCAUUCAGAACUUGGUUGUCCUCCAGAAGGUUCAAAAAUUGUCCAGUGAAGAGGAGAAAGCAGAAUGGGCUAAGUUCUGGAUAAACAAGGGGUUUAUAGCUCUUGAAAAAUUGCUUGAAAAAUGUUCAGGUCAAUAUUGUGUGGGAGAUACUGUUACCAUGGCUGAUAUGUGUCUUGUGCCGCAAGUUGGGAAUGCCAAAAGGUUCAAAGUCGAUAUGAGUCCAUUCCCACUGAUUUCUAAGAUAAAUGAUGAGUUAGAAAAACUGGAAGAAUUCCAGAAAGCAAGCCCAUUUAAGCAACCAGAUUGUCCUGAAGAUUUGAAAGCUUGAAGCUUUUCAAGGAUGAACAAAACAUCUUCGGUUGCAUAAAAAUGUGUUCAGCAGCUAGACUCUGUAAAGUUUGAAAGGAAGCAAAUGACAAAUCUGAGAGGACAAGAAAAAAGAUCUUAGUGUACCAAUGCAGCUAUUUACAAAAUCUGUUUUAUUAUAAAGACUUCGAGAUAUGUUUUUUUUAUCUGUAUUGUUAUUUUGAUUUGAUAAUACAGUUUUUAAUACACUAAC